rnacentral:rRNA from 1 species
UGCAGUCGAGCGGCAGCACAGAGGAACUUGUUCCUUGGGUGGCGAGCGGCGGACGGGUGAGUAAUGCCUGGGAAAUUGCCCUGAUGUGGGGGAUAACCAUUGGAAACGAUGGCUAAUACCGCAUGAUGCCUACGGGCCAAAGAGGGGGACCUUCGGGCCUCUCGCGUCAGGAUAUGCCCAGGUGGGAUUAGCUAGUUGGUGAGGUAAUGGCUCACCAAGGCGACGAUCCCUAGCUGGUCUGAGAGGAUGAUCAGCCACACUGGAACUGAGACACGGUCCAGACUCCUACGGGAGGCAGCAGUGGGGAAUAUUGCACAAUGGGCGCAAGCCUGAUGCAGCCAUGCCGCGUGUAUGAAGAAGGCCUUCGGGUUGUAAAGUACUUUCAGUCGUGAGGAAGGUUGUAGUGUGAAUAGCACUAUGAUUUGACGUUAGCGACAGAAGAAGCACCGGCUAACUCCGUGCCAGCAGCCGCGGUAAUACGGAGGGUGCGAGCGUUAAUCGGAAUUACUGGGCGUAAAGCGCAUGCAGGUGGUUUGUUAAGUCAGAUGUGAAAGCCCUGGGCUCAACCUAGGAGUUGCAUUUGAAACUGACAAGCUAGAGUACU